UUUGUAUAGCACUCACCCUUUUCUCUUGAAGACUUUAUGUCAUAACCUUACAACAUUAUUGCAUGCCAUUAUCAUUACUAUUUCGAGCAUAUACUAAAUGUGUGUACACUGUAAGAAACAGUGUCGGACACCGACGGAAUCAGCGACGGAAAUAUGUCCGUUGUUAAAUAACGACGGAAUCGCCGAUCGAAAACGACGGUUAUAGUAGCUCCGAUUCACCGUCAAAUUUAACGACGGAAUAUUUUUACGACGGACGGAUUCCGUAGUUAAAGAUGUUUUUUUAUUUAUUUUUUAAUUUUUUUUCCAAUUAACGUCGGAAUAGUGAUCCGUCGGUAUUUUGCGACGGACAUCUCCGUCGUUGUUUAAGCGGUUGAAUUUAGAAAUUUUUUAAUUAUUGAUUUUGCCUACGGAAUGGGCCUCCGUCGGUGAGCCCUAAAUAUUAUUUCACGGGAAUCACUUAGUCCGGCCUCACUUUCACAAAAUUCCUUCUUCUAAUUUUCUUCCUCCUUCAAAUCCCUCCUCCGCGUUCCCCCCCUCCGAUUGCCAAUCACCGGCGUCCGGGCCGUCUCCACCGUCACCCGCGUUCGCCCCCUCCGCCUCCCACGUAUCCCUGCCUUAGAAAGCCAUCACCGAAGCUCUGCCUCCGCCGGAAACGACGACGCUGCCUUCGCCGCUCUGCCUCCGCCGGAAACUACGCCGCCUUCCUUCGCCGCUCUGCUGCGCUGCCGGAAACGACAUCGCGAAGCCUUCGCCUCCGCUUCCGUUGUGACUAUACGCCACUGCUGGAGAAGGUCAACCCCCGGAACUACGCCGCUGUCAAAUCCGCCGUCGAUCGGAGCCUGCCGCCGCGAGAGAAGGUCCGCUCCUGCCGCCGCCACUGAAGAAGCUCAGUCGCUGCUGCCGAUUAUUCCUCUUCGCCGCUGAAGAAGAAAACGUGCACGCUUAGAUUUGUUUGGAUUUUGGAAGAAGCAAAGGAGAAGCAGAGAGGGGUCAUUCUUGAUUUGUGAGAAAGAAAGGAAGAAGUCAAGGAGAACAAAAAAGACGAAGGAGGAAAAAAACAAAAAUGAGUGAAAAUCGUGAGUGGAUGUAUCAACGUUUUCUACCUGAUGGAGCUUUGAAUCCUGAUUUUCAAAGAGGUCUUCAAGGUUUCAUUGAUUACACUAGCAGUAGACGAGAUUUAAUGGAUGGAGAAAAAAUUAGGUGCCCGUGUAGGAGAUGCGAUAAUAUACGUUUCCAUACUAGAAACAAUGUUCAAUAUCACAUUGCGAAGAAUGAAUUUGUGGGGGAUUACUAUAUUUGGAGGUUUCAUGGGGAAAUUGAAAUGGCCACGACUGAAUAUCAUAACUUGGAAGAACAAGAGGCCUUCUUUUAUUCACGAGGAUCACUGGCCUAAUUGGCUUAAGUACUGGGACUCUGAUGAAUUCAAAGCCAAAUCAGAGAUAGCAAAAAAGUGUAGGAUGUCUGAGCCUUUAGGUCCUGGAACUGGUCAAGUGAAGCACAAGGGAGGUUCGAGGUCUAUUCUUCAGUAUGCUGAAGAAGUGGCUAAAAGGAAAGGAGUGGAGCCGACUGAAUGUUUCUACGAUGCUUAUCAGAUCCUUCAUAAGAACAAGGAUGAUACUUAUAGGGGUGAGCAUUCGGGCGGGUUGGGUUGAAACCGAACCGAAAUACCCAACCCGAAACUCAAACCACCUAAAAAAUUUUGAACCAAACCAAACCGUUUGACUGGUCAAAACCGAACCAAACCGAACCGUAAAUUUUCGGUUCGGUUCGGUUUGGCCAAAACCGUUUUUUUUUUUUAAAGCUAUAAGCAAAAAUUAAAGUACUAUGAAUAAGCAAAAAUUACCACGUCUAGAUAAGUCCAUUUACUUCUACAAUCAAGAGUUUGUAAAAAUUAAAGAACAAGCACAGAAUAAAAAUCUUAUGUACUUUUGAAUUUAAUGUAAAGUGUAAAAUUCUAAAUUUAAUUUUUAACUAUUUAUUAAUUAAUUAUUUAAAAAUAAAUAUUUAUUAAUUAUAUUUAAAUCGGGCGGGUUCGGUUUAUAA